rnacentral:rRNA from 1 species
AGUGGGGGAUAUCUUGGCGAAAGCCGGAUUAAUACCGCAUAUGCCCUGAGGGGGAAAGCGGGGGAUCGUAAGACCUCGCGCUUUCGGAGUGGCCGAUAUCGGAUUAGCUAGUUGGUGGGGUAAAGGCUUACCAAGGCGACGAUCCGUAGCUGGUCUGAGAGGACGACCAGCCACACUGGAACUGAGACACGGUCCAGACUCCUACGGGAGGCAGCAGUGGGGAAUUUUGGACAAUGGGGGCAACCCUGAUCCAGCCAUGCCGCGUGAGUGAAGAAGGCCUUCGGGUUGUAAAGCUCUUUCAGACGGAAAGAAACGGUCACGGUGAAUAUCCGUGACUAAUGACGGUACCGUCAGAAGAAGCACCGGCUAACUACGUGCCAGCAGCCGCGGUAAUACGUAGGGUGCGAGCGUUAAUCGGAAUUACUGGGCGUAAAGCGUGCGCAGGCGGUUUUGUAAGACAGACGUGAAAUCCCCGGGCUUAACCUGGGAACUGCGUUUGUGACUGCAAGACUAGAGUGCGGCAGAGGGGGGUAGAAUUCCA